rnacentral:rRNA from 1 species
AAGGCCUUCGGGUUGUAAAGCUCUUUUGUCCGGGAAGAAACGGUGUGGGCUAAUACCUUGCGCUACUGACGGUACCUGAAGAAUAAGCACCGGCUAACUACGUG